rnacentral:rRNA from 1 species
AAAGCCCCGGGCUCAACCUGGGAACUGCAUUUGAUACUGCGGAGCUAGAGUAUGGUAGAGGAUAGUGGAAUUCCAGGUGUAGCGGUGAAAUGCGUAGAUAUCUGGAGGAACAUCAGUGGCGAAGGCGACUCCCUGGCCAAAGACUGACGCUCAUGUGCGAAAGUGUGGGUAGCGAACAGGAUUAGAUACCCUGGUAGUCCA